GCCGGCGACCGGCGCACGUGUGAGUAACACGUAUGAAACCUGCCCGUAGCAGGGGGAUAAGCGGAAGAAAUUCCGUCUAAUACCGCGUAACAACCCAUGGAGGCAUCUCCGUGGGUUUAAAGGAAGCGAUUCCGGCUACGGAUGGUCAUGCGUCGCAUUAGCUUGUUGGCGGUGUAACGGACCACCAAGACGACGAUGCGUAGGGGUUCUGAGAGGAAGGUCCCCCACACUGGUACUGAGACACGGACCAGACUCCUACGGGAGGCAGCAGUGAGGAAUAUUGGUCAAUGGCCGAGAGGCUGAACCAGCCAAGUCGCGUGAGGGAAGAAUGUCCUAUGGAUUGUAAACCUCUUUUGUCAGGGAGCAAAGUCACCCACGUGUGGGUGUUGGAGAGUACCUGAAGAAAAAGCAUCGGCUAACUCCGUGCCAGCAGCCGCGGUAAUACGGAGGAUGCGAGCGUUAUCCGGAUUUAUUGGGUUUAAAGGGUGCGUAGGCGGGUUAUCAAGUCAGCGGUAAAAUCGUGGAGCUCAACUCCAUCCAGCCGUUGAAACUGAUGAUCUUGAGUGGGCGAGAAGUAUGCGGAAUGCGUGGUGUAGCGGUGAAAUGCAUAGAUAUCACGCAGAACUCCGAUUGCGAAGGCAGCAUACCGGCGCCCGACUGACGCUGAAGCACGAAAGCGUGGGUAUCGAACAGGAUUAGAUACCCUGGUAGUCCACGCAGUAAACGAUGAAUACUAAUUGUGUGCUCCGAAUGAGGAGUGCGUGAUACAGCGAAAGCGUUAAGUAUUC
rnacentral:rRNA from 1 species